GCCCCCAUAGCUCAGAAGGAUAGAGCACGGCCCUCCUAAGGCUGGGAGCCCCGUUCGACUCGGGGUGGGGGCA
rnacentral:tRNA from 1 species